GGAGGACAAAAACAGAGAAAAGAAGAAAAAAGAAAUAGAGCUUUGGAUAUAGUAUUGUACUGUUUUUGUUUUGAUUUAUUUAAUAUCAAGGGCCAUUCUAGUUUUGGAAUUUCAUAGGCCCUUUUAAUUCAUCGUUUAUUUUUGUUAUCAUUGAUCGUAAUCUUUUUUUUUUUCAAAUAGAAAGAAUAAAUAUACGAUGGCGGUGUAUUAUAAAUUUAAGAGUACAAGAGAUUAUGAUUCAAUUCCCAUGGACGGUCCUUUCAUCUCUGUUGGAACAUUGAAAGAAAAAAUAUUUGAAUCCAAGCAUUUAGGCAGGGGUACUGAUUUUGUUCUCGUGGUAACCAACGCCCAGACCAAUGAAGAAUAUCUUGAUGAAGCAAUGCUGAUUCCUAAAAAUACCUCAUUGUUAAUUCGUCGGGUUCCUGGUCGGCCACGUUUACCAAUUGUUACUGAACUAGAGCAAAAAAAGGUGGACUUUACGGCUAUGGAAGCCGAACCUGAAAACAGCAGCUUACCAGCUGAAGAUGCAUCUGCUCCAGAAGAUUCAGAUUGGGAUGAAUUUGGAAAUGAUUUGUAUGAGAUUCCUGAUGUACCACCCAUUCAAUCAAGCAACUUAAUUCCUGAAGCUCCUCCAACCAACAAAGCUGAUGAAGAAAGUAAGAUAAAGGCUUUGAUUGAUACUCCUGCCUUGGAUUGGCAACGUCAAGGAUCGGACUUUGGUGCUGGUAGAGGUUUUGGAAGAGGUAUGGGUGGACGGAUGGGGGGUGGUCGUGGUUUUGGGAUGGAGUGGAAAACACCUCCCCAAGGCUAUGUAUGUCACAGGUGCAAGGUUCCUGGCCAUUUUAUUCAGCACUGCCCUACAAACGGUGAUCCAAGUUAUGACAUCAAGAGAGUUAAACAACCUACUGGUAUUCCGAGAUCCAUGCUGAUGGUGAACUCACAAGGUUCCUAUGCUCUACCAAAUGGUUCAGUAGCUGUAUUGAAGCCAAAUGAGGCUGCUUUUGAGAAAGAAAUAGAAGGUUUACCUUCCACCACACGUUCUGUUGGGGAUCUACCACCUGAGCUCCACUGCCCCUUGUGCAAUGAUGUGAUGAAAGAUGCUGUGCUGACAAGCAAGUGCUGUUUUAAAAGCUUUUGUGACAAAUGUAUUAGGGACUAUAUUAUCUCCAAGUCCAUGUGCAUAUGUGGUGCAACAAAUAUUCUUGCAGAUGAUCUUUUACCAAAUAAGACCCUAAGAGAUACUAUUAAUCGUAUAUUGGAGUCAGGCAAUAGCAGUGCUGAAAACGCUGGGAGCACCUUUCAAGUUCAAGAUAUGGAGUCUGCUCGUUGUCCACAACUGAAGCUUCCAUCUCCAACCUCAUCGGCUGCAUCUAAGGGAGAACCAAAGGUUUCACAUGUUCAUGAAGGAAUGACAAAUGUACUGGAAACUGUUGAUGAUAAAAAAACAGUUUCUGCUCCAGCUCCAUUGCAAACAUCAGAGCAAGUGAAGCCCAGAAUGCCUGAUGUAAGUGAAGCUACACAUGAGUCGAUGAGUGUAAAGGAACCAGCCUCACAAGGGAGUGCUCAGUUGGUUGAGGAGGAAGUCCAGCAAAAAAUGGUUCCUGCCGAGGCAGGAAAGAAGAAAAAAAGGAAGAAAGUCCAUUUGCCUGCAAAUGAUUUUCAGUGGAAAACCCCACACGACCUUGGGGCUGAGAGCUACAUGAUGCCAAUGGGCCCAGCACCUGGUUACAAUUCAUACUGGAAUGGCAUGCAACCUUGUAUGGAAGGAUUUAUGGGACCAUAUGGUGGCCCGAUGCAAAUGAUGGGUUAUGGCCUGGGCCCCUUGGACAUGCCAUUUGCAGGUGGUCUGCCUCAUGAUCCAUUUGGCAUGCAGGGUUACAUGAUGCCUGUUGUUCCACCUCAUAGGGAUCUUGCUGCUGAGUAUGGCAUGGGGAUGAAUGUUCCACCUCCAGUUAUGAGUAGAGAGGAGUUUGAAGCUCGGAAAGCUGAUCGUUGGAGAAAGCGUGAAAAUGAGAAACGGAUUGAUAGGGAUUUCUCCAAAGAUCGAGAUUUUGGUAGGGAAGCGAGCAGUAUUGGGGAUGUUCCUAUGAAAUAAAAAACUAAAUCACUUCCAGCACCUCCAAGUAGUGAGUACCACCAUCCCCAAUCCCAUCGUCACCGUGGGGAACGUGGGGCACCUGAUCGGUCUCCAUGUGAGGUGGAGCCGCCAAGUCCUAUCAAGAGAAAAGCUGACUACCAUGUGGAUUGGGAACGGGAAUGGGGAUGGAAAUGUGAACGUGAUCAUGAUCAUGAUCGAGAAAGAGGCCAUCACCACCAUCGCCACCACCGGUCAGAAUCCUCUUCCCGGAUGUCAUCUGAACCACCAAAACCUCCUCAACUGCACCAUCAUCUGCAGCUGCAGACCGCAAGCAGAAGGCCAGUGUUCUCUCCCGCAUAAGCAGCUUCCCCGCUGAGGAAGAAAUGACCAAGAAGAGGAAGAUAUCUGCCUUUCCCACAACUGAAGCUGCUUCAGCUGGUCCCCUGCCACAUCUUCAGCACAUCUCCAGGCCGCAUCUCAGCUGCUUCGAUGGCGAUUCAUUUUAUUUUAUAUAUAUGUAUAUAAUAUCAAUUGACACCAGUGUCGAUCUAAGUAAAUAUUCACUGUUCAACUUUUUAUUCGUGUAAUUUUUGAAAAAAUCAACCAUUGGAUUAGAAACUUAUAUAUUAUAGAUCAUCUUAAAAAUAUUUUUUGUCAAUCUAAAAUC